UGACACAGGGAGGUAGUGACAAGAAAUAACAAUACAGGGCUAUUUUAGUCUUGUAAUUGGAAUGAGUACAAUUUACAUCUCUUUACGAGGAUCAAUUGGAGGGCAAGUCUGGUGCCAGCAGCCGCGGUAAUUCCAGCUCCAAUAGCGUAUAUUAAAGUUGUUGCAGUUAAAACGCUCGUAGUCGGAUUUCGGGGCGGUCCCGCCGGUCUGCCGAUGGGUACGCACUGGCGGGCGUGUCCUUCCUCCCGGAGACGGCCGCUACUCUUAACUGAGCGGUGGUCGGAGACGGGAUGUUUACUUUGAAAAAAUCAGAGUGUUUCAAGCAGGCAGCUCGCUCUUGCAUGGUACAGCAUGGGAUGAUUGAAUAGGACUCCGGUGCUAUUUUGUUGGUUUCGACC
rnacentral:rRNA from 1 species